GGGCUAACUCCCCCCCCGCGGACCUUCCUAUGCUUUUCAUACAACCCAUCGAGUCAUAGAAUGUGAUCGCGUGUAACGCAUCUUAUACAACUUUCAGCAACGGAUCUCUGAGCUCUCGCAUCGAUGAAGAACGCAGCGAAAUGCGAUAAGUAAUGUGAAUUGCAGAAUUCAGUGAAUCAUCGAAUCUUUGAACGCACCUUGCGCUCCUUGGUAUUCCGAGGAGCAUGCCUGUUUGAGUGUCAUGGAAUUCUCAACUCCCCCUCAUCUUUCUGUGAGUGGUGGGGCUCGGAUUUGGAGGUCUUUUAUGCUGGACGUUAUCUGUUCAGCUCCUCUUGAAUGCAUUAGCUUUGAACCUUUGUGGAUCGGCUGUCUGGCGUGAUAAUUGUCUACGCCGCGUCGUGAAGCGUUUCAUAGGAUCGGCUUCUAAUUGUCCCCUGUGGACACACUUUGACCUUCUGACCUCAAAUCAGGUAGGAUUACCCGCUGAACUUAAGCAUAUCAAUAAGCGGAGGAAAAGAAACUAACAAGGAUUCCCCUAGUAACUGCGAGUGAAGCGGGAAAAGCUCAAAUUUAAAAUCUGGUGGUCUUUGGCCGCCCGAGUUGUAGUCUGGAGAAGCGUUUUCCGCGC
rnacentral:rRNA from 1 species